UGCUUGGUGGAUCAGUGGCGAACGGGUGAGUAACACGUGAGCAACCUGCCCUGGACUCUGGGAUAAGCGCUGGAAACGGCGUCUAAUACUGGAUAUGAGACGUGAUCGCAUGGUCGUGUUUGGAAAGAUUUUUCGGUCUGGGAUGGGCUCGCGGCCUAUCAGCUUGUUGGUGAGGUAAUGGCUCACCAAGGCGUCGACGGGUAGCCGGCCUGAGAGGGUGACCGGCCACACUGGGACUGAGACACGGCCCAGACUCCUACGGGAGGCAGCAGUGGGGAAUAUUGCACAAUGGGCGGAAGCCUGAUGCAGCAACGCCGCGUGAGGGAUGACGGCCUUCGGGUUGUAAACCUCUUUUAGCAGGGAAGAAGCGAAAGUGACGGUACCUGCAGAAAAAGCGCCGGCUAACUACGUGCCAGCAGCCGCGGUAAUACGUAGGGCGCAAGCGUUAUCCGGAAUUAUUGGGCGUAAAGAGCUCGUAGGCGGUUUGUCGCGUCUGCUGUGAAAUCCCGAGGCUCAACCUCGGGCCUGCAGUGGGUACGGGCAGACUAGAGUGCGGUAGGGGAGAUUGGAAUUCCUGGUGUAGCGGUGGAAUGCGCAGAUAUCAGGAGGAACACCGAUGGCGAAGGCAGAUCUCUGGGCCGUAACUGACGCUGAGGAGCGAAAGGGUGGGGAGCAAACAGGCUUAGAUACCCUGGUAGUCCACCCCGUAAACGUUGGGAACUAGUUGUGGGGACCAUUCCACGGUUUCCGUGACGCAGCUAACGCAUUAAGUUCCCCGCCUGGGGAGUACGGCCGCAAGGCUAAAACUCAAAGGAAUUGACGGGGACCCGCACAAGCGGCGGAGCAUGCGGAUUAAUUCGAUGCAACGCGAAGAACCUUACCAAGGCUUGACAUACACCAGAACGCGCCAGAAAUGCUGGACUCUUUGGACACUGGUGAACAGGUGGUGCAUGGUUGUCGUCAGCUCGUGUCGUGAGAUGUUGGGUUAAGUCCCGCAACGAGCGCAACCCUCGUUCUAUGUUGCCAGCACGUAAUGGUGGGAACUCAUGGGAUACUGCCGGGGUCAACUCGGAGGAAGGUGGGGAUGACGUCAAAUCAUCAUGCCCCUUAUGUCUUGGGCUUCACGCAUGCUACAAUGGCCGGUACAAAGGGCUGCAAUACCGUAAGGUGGAGCGAAUCCCAAAAAGCCGGUCCCAGUUCGGAUUGAGGUCUGCAACUCGACCUCAUGAAGUCGGAGUCGCUAGUAAUCGCAGAUCAGCAACGCUGCGGUGAAUACGUUCCCGGGUCUUGUACACACCGCCCGUCAAGUCAUGAAAGUCGGUAACACCUGAAGCCG
rnacentral:rRNA from 1 species